UACGUAGGGUCCGAGCGUUGUCCGGAAUUAUUGGGCGUAAAGGGCUCGUAGGCGGUUUGUCGCGUCGGGAGUGAAAACUCAGGGCUCAACCCUGAGCGUGCUUCCGAUACGGGCAGACUAGAGGUAGGCAGGGGAGAGCGGAACUCCUGGUGUAGCGGUGGAAUGCGCAGAUAUCAGGAAGAACACCGGUGGCGAAGGCGGCUCUCUGGGCCUUACCUGACGCUGAGGAGCGAAAGCGUGGGUAGCGAACAGG
rnacentral:rRNA from 1 species